GGGCCGGUAGCUCAGUUGGUAGAGCAGCGGACUUUUAAUCCGCGGGUCGGGGGUUCGAUCCCCUCCCGGCUCA
rnacentral:tRNA from 1 species